CUCAGGACGAACGCUGGCGGCGUGCUUAACACAUGCAAGUCGAACGAUGAACCACUUCGGUGGGGAUUAGUGGCGAACGGGUGAGUAACACGUGGGCAAUCUGCCCUUCACUCUGGGACAAGCCCUGGAAACGGGGUCUAAUACCGGAUGAUACUUCUGCUCGCAUGGGUGGGGGUUGAAAGCUCCGGCGGUGAAGGAUGAGCCCGCGGCCUAUCAGCUUGUUGGUGAGGUAGUGGCUCACCAAGGCGACGACGGGUAGCCGGCCUGAGAGGGCGACCGGCCACACUGGGACUGAGACACGGCCCAGACUCCUACGGGAGGCAGCAGUGGGGAAUAUUGCACAAUGGGCGAAAGCCUGAUGCAGCGACGCCGCGUGAGGGAUGACGGCCUUCGGGUUGUAAACCUCUUUCAGCAGGGAAGAAGCGAAAGUGACGGUACCUGCAGAAGAAGCGCCGGCUAACUACGUGCCAGCAGCCGCGGUAAUACGUAGGGCGCAAGCGUUGUCCGGAAUUAUUGGGCGUAAAGAGCUCGUAGGCGGUCUGUCGCGUCGGAUGUGAAAGCCCGGGGCUUAACCCCGGGUCUGCAUUCGAUACGGGCAGACUAGAGUGUGGUAGGGAGAUCGAA
rnacentral:rRNA from 1 species